rnacentral:rRNA from 1 species
UGCAUCACAGACCUGUUAUUGCCUCAAACUUCCAUCGGCUUGAGCCGAUAGUCCCUCUAAGAAGCCGGCGCCCUGCCAAAGCAAUGCGGGCUAUUUAGCAGGUUAAGGUCUCGUUCGUUAUCGCAAUUAAGCAGACAAAUCACUCCACCAACUAAGAACGGCCAUGCACCACCACCCACGAAAUCAAGAAAGAGCUCUCAAUCUGUCAAUCCUCAUCUGUGUCUGGACCUGGUGAGUUUCCCCGUGUUGAGUCAAAUUAAGCCGCAGGCUCCACCCCUGGUGGUGCCCUUCCGUCAAUUCCUUUAAGUUAGUGAACCUGCGGAGGGAUCAUUAGAGAGUUGACCCAACUCCCAACCCCUGUGACAUACCGUACGUUGCCUCGGCGGGGGGGCGCUCCCCCGCCCGCCGGCGGCCCACGAAACUCUGCUUUGCCCUGAAUCUCUGAAACGACAAACUAAAUCAGUUAAAACUUUCAACAACGGAUCUCUUGGUUCUGGCAUCGAUGAAGAACGCAGCGAAAUGCGAUACGUAGUGUGAAUUGCAGAAUUCAGUGAAUCAUCGAAUCUUUGAACGCACAUUGCGCCCGCUAGUAUUCUGGCGGGCAUGCCUGUUCGAGCGUCAUUUCAACCCCUUAAGCCCCCGUUGCUUAGUGUUGGGAGCCCACGGCCACCCCGCCGUCGCUCCUCAAAUCCAGUGGCGGAGCCGGUUCGCGCUCUAGGCGUAGUAGAUUUUCUCCAUCUCGCCUACGGCCGGGCCGGCCCUCCUGCCGUAAAAGAACCCCCCCUCCACAGAAGGUGACCUCGAAUCAGGUAGGAAUACCCGCUGAACUUAAGCAUAUCAAUAGGCGGAGGA